rnacentral:tRNA from 2 species
CGGGAUGUAGCGCAAUUGGUUAGCGUACCUGCUUUGGGAGCAGGGGGUUGUGAGUUCGAGUCUCACCAUCCCGAAUG